GUAACUAUUAGGAUGGAUUGGGAUUGGCCUAAGGCCCAAGCUUUUCUUUCUUUCAUUUUAGUUCUGUUUGUUUAUAUGUGCCUCUGUCCUCCUGCUUUUCUGCACCCACUGCUUGUCAUGGCUCUGCUGGUCACAGAGGAACUAAUUGGCCAUGGCAUUUCCUGCCUUAGUCAUCAGGCAUUUACUUCUUAGUCCUUCACAGCCUCCUGGCAGGAACUGGGAAGGUAAAUCUUCAAUUCUAAGCACCGCCCUGAGAACUCAUAGCUUAAAGUCUUGGAUACCAGGUGAUGAGACUCCCACUUCACCACUGGAUUCACCCAUUGGUGCUUUCAGAAUAUUUCCUUGUAAAUCUGAUGAUUCAAUCUAUUUCUACCUAAGUAAGAUCCAUUUAAAGAGAGAUAAUCUCAAUCAAGAUAUGGUAUAAUGACUGUUGUUGUUAUAGUUUCUAUUGCUGUGAAAAAAUACCAUGACCAAAACCAACAAGAGGAGUAAAAGGUUUAUUCUGUCUUACAACUCUCAGGACACAAUUACUCACUGAAGGAAGUCAAGGCAGACACUCAACAGGACAGAAAUCUGGAAGCAGGAGCUGAAGCAGAGACUGUGGAGCAGUGCUGCUUACUGGCUUGCUUCCCAGAGCUUGCUCAGGCAUAGAUUGCUUUUUACAGCACUCAGAACUACCUGCCCUGCAGGAAGGUAUCCUCAGUGAGCUGUGCUCUCCUAUAGAAAGAAAUAAUCAAGAAAAAGUUCUGCUGUUUGGUGGCGCAGACUUUUAAUCCCAGCACUUGGGAGGCAGAGACAGGCAGAUUUCUGAGUUCAAGACCAGCCUGGUCUACAAAGUGAGUUCCAGGACAGCCAGGACUAUACAGAGAAACCCUGUCUGGAAAAACAAAAAACAAACAGAAAAGAAAAGAAAAGAAAAGAAAAGAAAAGAAAAGAAAAGAAAAGAAGAAAAGAAAAGAAAAAGUUCUACUGGCUUCCCUACAGGCCAAUCUUACAGAUACAUUUAAGUCCCUCUUCUCACAUAUAGCUAGGAUUGUGUCAAGUUGGAACACCAAAUAAAACUUUGAACACACACA
rnacentral:lncRNA from 1 species